AUUGAACGCUGGCGGCAGGCCUAACACAUGCAAGUCGAGCGGAUGAAGGGAGCUUGCUCCUGGAUGCAGCGGCGGACGGGGGAGUAAUGCCUAGGAAUCUGCCUGGUAGUGGGGGAUAACGUCCGGAAACGGGCGCUAAUACCGCAUACGUCCUGAGGGAGAAAGUGGGGGAUCUUCGGACCUCACGCUAUCAGAUGAGCCUAGGUCGGAUUAGCUAGUUGGUGGGGUAAAGGCCUACCAAGGCGACGAUCCGUAACUGGUCUGAGAGGAUGAUCAGUCCCACUGGAACUGAGACACGGUCCAGACUCCUACGGGAGGCAGCAGUGGGGAAUAUUGGACAAAGGGCGAAAGCCUGAUCCAGCCAUGCCGCGUGUGUGAAGAAGGUCUUCGGAUUGUAAAGCACUUUAAGUUGGGAGGAAGGGCAGUAAGUUAAUACCUUGCUGUUUUGACGUUACCAUCAGAAUAAGCACCGGCUAACUUCGUG
rnacentral:rRNA from 1 species